GACGUAGGUGGCGAACGUUAUCCGGAAUUAUUGGGCGUAAAGGGUGCGUAGGCGGCAUAAUAAGUUAUUGGCGGGAAAUCGAGGCUCAACCUCGUGGAAACUGAUAACACUGUUUUGCUUGAGUACAGGAGAGGUUAACGGAACUCCAUGUGGAGCGGUAAAAUGUGUAGAUAUAUGGAAGAACAUCAAUAACGGCGAAGGCAGUUAACUAUUCUGUUACUGACGUUGAGGCACGAAAGCGUGGGGAGCAAAAAGG
rnacentral:rRNA from 1 species